CAUAAUUGAUUAGGAGCAGCUUUCAUGUAACGUAACGAAUAUGUUGCGGCUUGGUUAUUUAUACUGGCACACUAACAUAUUCGAUUCUCAUAUACAGAUCCUGUCUCUUAUUAACCACGAAGUCUGGAGUUCGACGGAUGGAUAAAAAGGCAAAAAUUGAAGGUGGGAUUCCUUCAAUUUGCAGAAGCAUUAAGUGUUUUGCUGUCAUUCUGUUCUACACAUUCGUUUUCGGUUAUUUAGUACCUAGUAUCGUUUAUGAAACAGUAAAAAGCGCAAUUUGUUGCUGUGGAUAAGUGUUUUGUUUUAUUUACGAAAUGAUUUAAAAAUAUAUUUUAACUUAUUGUAUAGAAGAAAAGUUAUUUUGUAUGGUACAUAAUUGAAAAUUAUUGUAUUUUUGUUAUUACGAAUAAAUUUGCAUUAAAGGUUUGCGCCAAGCUGUUCACAAAGGAAAUAAAAUCUGUAAUAUUAAUUCAUAAAAUGUCAAAAGUUAUAUAGGAGACUAAAAGGGUUAUUCUGAACACAUGAAGGUGCGAAUUCGGAAAAAAAUUAAGAA